UACGUAGGGACCAAGCGUUGUUCGGAUUUACUGGGCGUAAAGGGCGCGUAGGCGGCGAAUCAAGUCAGCUGUGAAAUCUCCGAGCUUAACUCGGAACGGUCAGCUGAUACUGUUUUGCUAGAGUGCAGAAAGGGCAACCGGAAUUCUUGGUGUAGCGGUGAAAUGCGUAGAUAUCUGGAGGAACACCGGUGGCGAAGGCGGCAUCCUGGACCGGCAUUGACGCUGAGGCGCGAAAGCUAGGGGAGCAAACGGG
rnacentral:rRNA from 1 species